GUGGUCUCUCCUCUUCCCAUACACACCUUACGGAGUCUUCACAGGGUGUGAUGAUGGGAAGCCUAGACAUGCUCAUCAGAGGUUUGUCCUCUUAUCGGGACACGUCAGAAAUUAGAGAGACCCUGGCAAUCACAGCUCCACCUCCUCAUUUUACAAAUGAGCAACUAGGCUCAGAGUACAAAAGUGGUUUUCCCAGGGUCACACAGCCAGCUUGUGACAGAGUCAGGAUUCAAGCACCAUCUCCUGACUUCUCCAUUGCACCAGACGUCGAUAGAACACAGAGAACCUAAAAGAAGAAAGAAAAAAAAGAUAGAGCUUUUGGAAAUAUAUUGGGCUUCUGGUUUUCAAGGACAAUUUUAUGAUAAGUAGCAAUGAUGCCUCAAAAGCUCUGGUAGCUAGCUUGAAUGAACUUAUGUAAUAAACAUUUAUCACAGAACAUGUGUCAUCAAACACCUGCCAGUUCUGAGCGUUGGCACCAAAGCUGCUUUCAUUGUCAAAGAAAAGAGGGGGAAAGGAACUUGGCUGAACAAAGCUGGCAGACGUUUAUACUAGAAAAUUUAGAGAUGUCAGGAGCAAUGGAGCACCAAUGGUGGAAGAACCUACCUCCCCUGGCUCCAUCAAAGGCCACAGGCCCAUGAGAAUCACCCAGCCUGCUCUGAGCGGCACACUCGGAGACCACAGCCGCGCACAGGAAAGUGAGAGGAAGUGGAAACGUGCGAGCAGAGGGCUCAAAGCAACGGGCUCGCCACCGGAAAAAAAAAAAAUAAAAAUAAACAUGCUCAGAAAUAGUGUAACUGAUAUGCAAAGAAGAUCAAAACAAGGGUUUUAAAAUAUCUUGGCUGCUUUAGAGAAGGUGGGGGUGGUAAUUAAAUCGAGGUUGCAAAUGCGUGUUAGGGGAGUGGGGCGGUUAGGUGGAUGGUUCACUGAAGACUGCCAGGCCAUGGGAGCCUGGGAGCCCAAGGGUAUUUCAGAUGAAAAUGUGGCACUUAUAUGUGGAAUGUAAAAAAUAGUUGAACUCAUAGAAGCAGAGAAUAAAAUGGUUAUUCUCAGA